CCUACGUGUGGCAGCAGUGGGGAAUAUUGCUCAAUGGGCGAAAGCCUGACGCAGCGACGCCGCGUGAGAGAUGACGGUCUUAGGAUCGUAAACCUCUUUCCGCAGGGAAGAACUUUCACUGUGCUAAUCAGCAGUCAAUUGACGCUACCUGCACAGGAAGCACCAGCUAACUCCGUGCCAGCAGCCGCGGUAAUACGGAGGGUGCGAGCGUUAAUCGGAAUUACUGGGCGUAAAGCGGUCGUAGGCGGUAGGUCACGUCAAGAGUGAAAUCACCGCGCUCAACGUGGGAACUGCCUUUGAAACUGGCAAACUGGAGGGGGUGAGAGGGUAGUGGAA
rnacentral:rRNA from 1 species